GUCAGGAUCUCUAGCACCGUGACUGAAGCUGCCAUCGACUUCAACGACCAGGCCGUGCUGUUGACGUUAACGAUACGGUGUACUGACGGCAACCCCGUCAACGUCAUCACCGGGACUUUCAACGUCAAUAUCGUUGAUGAGGACCCAGUUCUAACGUCGUUUCCUAUGACGUCAUAUCAGUUCCUAGAAGACACUUCCGUUUCCGCUCUGGAGCUAAACUCAUUCAGCCUUAAAGAUUCUGAUGACGUCAUAUCUGCUUGAUGUCAUCUGUCAAAUCUGAAAAUCAACGUCAAAGCGUUCCAGAUUUGGUACAAGGGACGCCCGCGAGCGUCCUUGAACUAUGACGUCACGCCCGUUCAUAACAUCGGGAUUAUUUGCGACGACGGUAAAGUCUUUAGCGCGAGAUAUUAUUACGCAGUGGAUCUGGAAAACAACCCUCCGGUGUUUGUUAACCUUCCUGCGGUUACUUUACGUCAAUAGCGGAGUCAGUGACGUCUAAAACAUUGCUAUAUUCUCUCACAGUAUCGGACCUAGACGGUAU